GGUCCAGUAGCUCAGUGGUUAGAGCACCAGUAUAUAUAACCUGGAGGUCCUUGGUUCCCAGGGUCAAUUC